UAAAUAUUCAUAGGUAACGGUUGGGCAUGCGUCCUAUUAGAUAGUUGGGGGGGUAACGGCCCACCAAGUCGAUGAUAGGUAGGGGUUCUGAGAGGAAGGUCCCCCACACUGGUACUGAGACACGGACCAGACUCCUACGGGAGGCAGCAGUGAGGAAUAUUGGUCAAUGGGCGAGAGCCUGAACCAGCCAAGUCGCGUGAGGGAUGACUGCCCUAUGGGUUGUAAACCUCUUUUGUAUGGGGGGAAUAAGCUUUACGAGUAGAGUGAUGACAGUACCAUACGAAUAAGCAUCGGCUAACUCCGUGCCAGCAGCCGCGGUAAUACGGAGGAUGCGAGCGUUAUCCGGAUUUAUUGGGUUCAAAGGGUGCGUAGGCGGCAUUAUAAGUUAGUGGUAAAAUAUUGGGGCUUCACCUCACUACGCCAUUAAUACUGUAGAGCUAGAGAACAGACGAGGUAGGCGGAAUAAGUUAAGUAGCGGUGAAAUGCAUAGAUAUAACUUAGAACACCGAUAGCGAAGGCAGCUUACCAGACUGAGUCUGACGCUGAUGCACGAGAGCAUGGGUAGCGAACAGGAUUAGAUACCCUGGUAGUCCAUGCCGUAAACGAUGCUCACUGGCCUUAGGCGAUAUAUGGUCU
rnacentral:rRNA from 1 species